UGAGUAAACAGGGCUUUACAAUCUCUCCUCCCACAGGCUGGUUUACUAAAUAGAUCAAUAUUUGGUUUGUAGGCACAGAGAUUAGGAGGUGGAAGUGCGUUUUGAAAAAGCCCUCUCUCUUCCUCGGGCCCCCAGCACACCUGAGAAUGCUGGAAAGAAAAGCCAGGUUCAUGAACAAAAAAGGAAUCAUCCAAGCUGCUUUCACCUGCCCCCGAUUUCCCAAGGAGCUGCUCAUCUUCAAGAAGUGGCCAUUGGCUGAUCUCCAUCAGACUUUUGGGAGUGCCUUUCUCCUUAUCAGCAAGAAGUUGCUUAGGUUUGACUUCCAGAAGAUCAAACAAGAUGAAUCUAACUGAUUUCCACUUUCCUAUGAGACAGAAAAAUGUCAAAACUCUUUUGCUCCAUGUUCAAGACCUCUUAGUAUCCAACCUCCACCUACUUCCCCAGCCUCACCUUCUGCAGCUACCCAUGUGCUUC